GAUGAACGCUGGCGGCGUGCCUAAUACGUGCAAGUCGAGCGAACAGACGAGGAGCUUGCUCCUCUGACGUUAGCGGCGGACGGGUGAGUAACACGUGGAUAACCUACCUAUAAGACUGGGAUAACUUCGGGAAACCGGAGCUAAUACCGGAUAAUAUAUUGAACCGCAUGGUUCAAUAGUGAAAGACGGUUUUGCUGUCACUUAUAGAUGGAUCCGCGCCGCAUUAGCUAGUUGGUAAGGUAACGGCUUACCAAGGCGACGAUGCGUAGCCGACCCGAGAGGGUGAUCGGCCACACUGGAACUGAGACACGGUCCAGACUCCUACGGGAGGCAGCAGUAGGGAAUCUUCCGCAAUGGGCGAAAGCCUGACGGAGCAACGCCGCGUGAGUGAUGAAGGUCUUCGGAUCGUAAAACUCUGUUAUUAGGGAAGAACAAAUGUGUAAGUAACUAUGCACGUCUUGACGGUACCUAAUCAGAAAGCCACGGCUAACUACGUG
rnacentral:rRNA from 1 species